AUUGAACGCUGGCGGCAGGCUUAACACAUGCAAGUCGAACGGAUCCUUCGGGAUUAGUGGCGGACGGGUGAGUAACACGUGGGAACGUGCCCUUUGGUUCGGAACAACUCAGGGAAACUUGAGCUAAUACCGGAUGUGCCCUUCGGGGGAAAGAUUUAUCGCCAUUGGAGCGGCCCGCGUCUGAUUAGCUAGUUGGUGAGGUAAAGGCUCACCAAGGCGACGAUCAGUAGCUGGUCUGAGAGGAUGAUCAGCCACAUUGGGACUGAGACACGGCCCAAACUCCUACGGGAGGCAGCAGUGGGGAAUCUUGCGCAAUGGUCGAAAGCCUGACGCAGCCAUGCCGCGUGAAUGAUGAAGGUCUUAGGAUUGUAAAAUUCUUUCACCGGGGACGAUAAUGACGGUACCCGGAGAAGAAGCCCCGGCUAACUUCGUGCCAGCCGCCGCGGUAAAAC
rnacentral:rRNA from 1 species